CGGCUUUGAUCCCGACUAUGGGCGCUGUCUGUACGGAGGUUGUACGGCCUCCCCGUGAGCCGCGUGGAAAUCUUCGGUUUCCU